rnacentral:rRNA from 1 species
UACGUAGGGUGCAAGCGUUGUCCGGAUUUAUUGGGUUUAAAGGGUGCGUAGGCGGCCCUGUAAGUCAGUGGUGAAAUACUCCAGCUUAACUGGAGGGGUGCCAUUGAUACUGCAGGGCUUGAGUUAAGUUGAAGUUGGCGGAAUUGACGGUGUAGCGGUGAAAUGCUUAGAUAUCGUCAAGAACACCGAUAGUGAAGACAGCUAACUAAACUUUUACUGACGCUGAGGCACGAAAGUGUGGGGAUCAAACAGGAUUAGAUACCCUGGUAGUCCACACUGUAAACGUUGAUUACUCGCUGUGUGCGAUAUACAGUACGCGGCCAAGCGAAAGCGAUAAGUAAUCCACCUGGGGAGUACGCCGGCAACGGUGAA